CGCGCCCCGGAGAUGGACGGGGAACGCGCUGCCGCCGACGGACCCGCGCUCCUCCCCUCCGGCCGAGGAGGGGGAGGCCCGGCUGACUUCGUGGCUCUCCUCCCAGCGGAGGUCAGCUCCCGGAUUUUCAGCGACCUCGACGUUGAGAGCUUGUGUCACGCGUCCGCGACAUGCAAGGGCUGGCACCGCGUCAUCGAGAGCAACGACCGCCUAUGGAGACACCACUGCCUGAGCGUGCGGGCUGUGUGCCAGCGGGAGAUCGACUGCGACCGAGGAAACGGAUAUUCCUGGAAGAUCACGUUACUGAGAAACUACUGGAAAAGCAAAGUGAAGCAAGAAUGGCUGAGUGGGAAAUACAGCAACAUUCCUUCACGGAACAGCUUGCCAGAGAAAAGCAUGUAUCCCAUGGACGUUGACACAUGGGGAGAAAUCCUGGAAGCAGAACUUGAGAGAUGAAAAACCAGUGCUUGUUCUAGCAACUUAAGAACCUUCUAUCAACAACUCACAGACUGCCAAACUGCAAAGGAGCCACUGCUUGCAGAUGUGGAAGCAUCAACUGCAGAGGUUGCUUUGUGGCUGAGAUGCCAGACACUUGAAGCUCUACACAAAGACUUCUCCAGAUGCCACAGGACACCAUCAGCCAUCAGAUGAAGUAUUAGCCCUAGCACUAAAUAUUGCUUUUAAAUGUCUGAGUGAUCUCAGAACACCAAGCAGAAAACACCACAAGAUGCUACCAGCCACCUAUUGGAG